rnacentral:rRNA from 1 species
GGCCUUUAGCACAACAAGUAUUAAAGGUCCCGCCUGCCCAGUGACUCACUUUUAACGGCCGCGGUACUCUAACCGUGCAAAGGUAGCGUAAUCACUUGCCCCUUAAAUAGGGGCUUGUAUGAAUGGCUAGAUGAGGGCUCAACUGUCUCCUAAGACACCCCAAUGAACCUGCUCUCCCAGUACAAAAGCUGGGAUAACCACAUAAGACGAGAAGACCCCGUGGAGCUUUUAAACACACUAUCAAGCUUUCCCCAGCCCGUGAUAGCACCUUUAAGUUGGGGCGACUACGGAGAAAUACAAAACCUCCACGAAAUAAACUAAAACCUGCCCCAGGCUAACACACCAAAGGCACCCAGCCCUCUGACCCAGUAUAACUGAACACCGGACCAAGCUACCCCAGGGAUAACAGCGCCAUCCCCCUCAAGAGUCCCUAUCGCCAGGGGGGUUUACGACCUCGAUGUUGGAUCAGGACACCCCGGUGGUGUAGCCGCUGCCAAAGGUUCGUUUGUUCAACGAAUAAUGUCCUACGUG